rnacentral:ncRNA from 2 species
GUUAUCCGAACUGCGUUCUGUGCGCGGUCAGGUAAUUGCAUAAAAGGAACGGGAAUAAUAAUCCCACGCGAACGGCACCGUGGGCGCAAGAAUGCACCAAAACAGCAGUAGCUGUUGGACGAAAGUCCGCCAUUGAGGGAUGCCCCUUGAGAAGGUAGGUAGCAAACGAGGAGCAGCAGCUCCGUGGCGCGAGGCGGGAGACUUGUAUGAUUAGGGCCAUUAGC